UUGCUUCAGCAGCACAUAUACCAAAAUUGGAAUGAUACUGAGAUUAGCGAUGGCCCCUGAGAAAGGAUGACAUGCAAAUGCACGAAGUGUUCUAUAUUUUA
ensembl:snRNA U6 U6 spliceosomal RNA